AGCAGGAAGAGGACAGACAAGUGCUAUUACCCCCAUUUGUCCAUGGGUAGACUGAUUUGGAGAGGUGGAGCCCUUUCGGAGAUUGCUUCAGCAGCUGAGAGCUGCCUCACCUAUAGGAAGUCCUUCCCAGGGCAAUCUUUCCACCGGCUGGUCAAGUCACUGGAGGGCCCAGGGCCCAGGAGCCUGAGAGGAAAUGGCAGGGGGAGGCACCAUUGGCGCUGAAAUCCCUAACUUCCCUUCCGUUUCUUCAUCUAUAAAAUAAUCUUCAUAAGACCUGCCUCACUGAUGUCGUUAUUGAGAAUUAAAUAAAACGGAACAUUACAUAAAAUCUUAUGAUGCUACCCUGCACAAUGCCUCAUGUACCUACCACGUGCUUAAUGCAUCUUGGCUCUCUGAUCCAUUGUGCCCCAUAACUGUCACCAGAGGAAGCAGGUAAGAUCAGGGGCUGGAGGGAGUCUAGAUAUGGCUCACUGAUUCGUUAAAAUGAAAACUCUGAAAGACAAAUGGGUUCAACUCUGAUUUUGUAUGGAAGAAUGAUAGCUAUGAGUAAAAUCAGGAUUAAUUUUCUACACUUCUCCCAACUCUAAAGAACUCAGAAUGCAAACGUCAUCAUCCUCAAGGGCCUAACAGUGGCACAGAGGCAAAAUGCAAUGUUCUGCAAGGCAAUCUCAUGAGAGAAGAAUCCUAGUUCAAGGCUGGAGACUUCCCUGGGUAUGCAGCAUACACUUUGCCCAAGGUCUGGAACUGGUUGAAGUCUAGGUGUGGGUCAAGGUGUCAAGACCCUGUUUGGGGGGACUUUUUCUCUCUCUUUCUUUGCUCACUCAUGAAAAAAUAUCCUCCUCAACAGAAAGCAUCUCUGUUUUGAUUCUCUGUGACAGUGGCAAGAAUAAUACCAAACUCACAGCUCUUUCAAUGAUUAAAGGUAAAUAUGUAAAAUGUUUUUCUAAUAGGCAAGUUUCCCUGGGAGAAAAAAAGAGGUUAAUUUCUCCAUUUUCUGUUUCUGUAGCGAUUGUAAACAUCUCUGGAAGGAAGCAAAACAAACAAAACCCCAAAAGACACACUCAAAAAAAAAAUAUUUUUCCCCUCCGUUAUCAAGGACAGCAAGUUCUGGGAGUGCGGGGAGCUAAUUUAUGGAGUUAAAGAGCAAGUAAAAGUAGGUGUGAGCUCUUAGCUCUGUCUCAGUGUAGUCCUUCAGCUCUGACGUUCACGGCUGGUUUGAACCAGAUACAUUUAUUUUGAGCCUUGACAACAGGCUAUAGAAGAGGAGUCACCUGAGAAACACCUUUAAAAAAAGCAAAGCCAGUCCUUAAGGUGUGAACUCUGAUCUUAAUUUGUCUCUGGAUGAAGCUGAAGGGUAGAGGGUGCUAAACUUUUCGAGAUGGAGAUCUGGCCUGAGGCUUCAGCAGUCAAGCCUUCGUUCUGUCCUGCCCUGCCUCUUCCAGCCUGCACAGCUGGUGCACCUGCCAGACCUUGGCCCUGAGCCAACCCGAGGUCUGAAGAAAUCUCCUUUUCUCCCUGGCUAUGAUGUUCAGGAAUGACUUGGAUAAAACCGCCUUGCCUCUUAAAAAAAAUUUCAAACCCACCAUUUAUCUUAUCAAGUUCUCCAUGAAUGGUCCAGGGAGUGAAGAGAUCUUUUUUUAAUUCAAAAAUGAUCGGGAUAUUUAGCAAAACCAUGAACUCUCAAAUGCAGCCUCGACAGGGAUGCUGACAGCAUUAUUAAUUUUUUUCUUAAAUUUUGUGUAUAAUU